rnacentral:lncRNA from 1 species
UAACUUCGGAGUUCCGAUGGAACCCGAAGCCAGUGAGUUCCCAAAAGGCCUCGUGCUAGGUAGAGAUGGGAAUAUACAUAUAAGGCUUACAUGAUCCACUCCCUUGGGUGAUGUGGGAUGUUACAAUCCACUCCCCUUAGGGGCCCGACGUCCUCAUCGGCACACAUCUGGCCAAGGAUUGGCUCUGAUACCAACUUGUCACAUCCCGGCUCGGGCCCCCACCACAUCCUAGGCUCGACUUCGCCGUAGCAUGAUAUUGUCCACUUUGGGCCCUAACCACACCCUCACGGUUUUGUUUUUGGGAACUCAAACGAGAACUUCCUAGUGGGUCACCCAUCCUAGGAUUGCUGUCGGGUGAACUCACUUAACUUCGGAGUUCCGAUAGAACCCGAAGCCAGUGAGUUCCCAAAAGGCCUUAUGCUAGGUAAAGAUGGGAAUAUACAUAUAAGGCUUACAUGAUCCACUCCUCUGGGCAAUGUGGGAUGUUACAAAAGGAAUCAUCACGCACUUUAUCCUUAAUAGCUUAAGGAUAACGUAGUGGGUAAGCUGCCCGAACCAGUCAAUGUGAUCCACAUCAACCAAAUGGCCAAAUCAUGAAGCUUCAAAUUUGUUCAGUAGAUCCUUUGUAAAUCGACCUCUAAUAUUUCCCAGACACCCCGAGCAUAUGACAGACAAGAGAUGGUUGCAGGAAACACCUCAUGCGACGAACACACGAGUUCCGUCGGAGACACAUAUUUGACUUUAGAACUGCAAUAUUUAGAACAUAAGCAAAUCAAUUAAAUAAGAUAAGCAUGCACAGAGGAUAUGCACAUCAUAUGCAUAUUGUCUGC